rnacentral:tRNA from 1 species
UGGGAUGUAGCUCAGUUGGUAAAAUGCCUGCCUUGCAAGCACAACGCCCUGGGUUCAAUCCCCAGCCUCACAA